rnacentral:rRNA from 1 species
AGUUUGAUCCUGGCUCAGAAUGAACGCUGGCGGCAGGCCUAACGCAUGCAAGUGGAACGGAAACGACAAUAACAAACUCUUCGGAGGGCGAUCUUGGGCGUCGAGUGGCGGACGGGUGAGUAACGCGUGGGAAUCUACCCUUUAGUUGGGGACAACAUAUGGAAACGUAUGCUAAUACCGAAUAUGCUCUACGGAGUAAAGGUGGCCUCUACUUGUAAGCUAUCGCGAAAGCGUGGGUAGCGAACGGGAUUAGAUACCCUGGUAGUC